rnacentral:rRNA from 1 species
AACGAACGCUGGCGGCAUGCCUAACACAUGCAAGUCGAACGAGACCUUCGUGUCUAGUGGCGCACGGGUGCGUAACGCGUGGGAACCUGCCCUUAGGUUCGGAAUAACUCCCCGAAAGGGGUGCUAAUACCGGAUAAUGUCUUCGGACCAAAGAUUUAUCGCCUUUGGAUGGGCCCGCGUUGGAUUAGCUAGUUGGUAGGGUAAAAGCCUACCAAGGCGACGAUCCAUAGCUGGUCUGAGAGGAUGAUCAGCCACACUGGGACUGAGACACGGCCCAGACUCCUACGGGAGGGAGCAGUGGGGAAUAUUGGACAAUGGGCGAAAGCCUGAUACAGCAAUGCCGCGUGAGUGAUGAAGGCCUUAGGGUUGUAAAGCUCUUUUACCCGGGAUGAUAAUGACAGUACCGGGAGAAUAAGCUCCGGCUAACUACGUG